UACGUAGGUGGCAAGCGUUGUCCGGAAUUACUGGGUGUAAAGGGCGUGUAGGCGGGAAUGCAAGUCAGAUGUGAAAUCCCAGGGCUUAACUCUGGAGCUGCAUCUGAAACUGUGUUUCUUGAGUGUCGGAGAGGAAAGUGGAAUUCCCAGUGUAGCGGUGAAAUGCGUAGGGAUUGGGAGGAACACCAGUGGCGAAGGCGGCUUUCUGGACGAUAACUGACGCUGAGGCGCGAAAGCGUGGGGAGCAAACAGG
rnacentral:rRNA from 1 species